rnacentral:rRNA from 1 species
CUAUCUGCAGUCGAGCGGACAGAAGGGAGCUUGAUCCCGGAUGUUAGCGGCGGACGGGUGAGUAACACGUGGGUAACCUGCCUGUAAGACUGGGAUAACUCCGGGAAACCGGAGCUAAUACCGGAUAGUUCCUUGAACCGCAUGGUUCAAGGAUGAAAGACGGUUUCGGCUGUCACUUACAGAUGGACCCGCGGCGCAUUAGCUAGUUGGUGGGGUAAUGGCUCACCAAGGCGACGAUGCGUAGCCGACCUGAGAGGGUGAUCGGCCACACUGGGACUGAGACACGGCCCAGACUCCUACGGGAGGCAGCAGUAGGGAAUCUUCCGCAAUGGACGAAAGUCUGACGGAGCAACGCCGCGUGAGUGGUGAAGGUUUUCGGAUCGUAAAGCUCUGUUGUUAGGGAAGAACAAGUGCGAGAGUAACUGCUCGCACCUUGACGGUACCUAACCAGAAAGCCACGGCUAACUACGUGCCAGCAGCCGCGGUAAUACGUAGGUGGCAAGCGUUGUCCGGAAUUAUUGGGCGUAAAGGGCUCGCAGGCGGUUUCUUAAGUCUGAUGUGAAAGCCCCCGGCUCAACCGGGGAGGGUCAUUGGAAACUGGGAAACUUGAGUGCAGAAGAGGAGAGUGGAAUUCCACGUGCAGCGGUGAAAUGCGUAGAGAUGUGGAGGAACACCAGUGGCGAAGGCGACUCUCUGGUCUGUAACUGACGCUGAGGAGCGAAAGCGUGGGGAGCGAACAGGAUUAGAUACCCUGGUAGUCCACGCCGUAAACGAUGAGUGCUAAGUGUUAGGGGGUUUCCGCCCCUUAGUGCUGCAGCUAACGCAUUAAGCACUCCGCCUGGGGAGUACGG